UACGGAGGGUGCAAGCGUUAUCCGGAUUCACUGGGUUUAAAGGGUGCGUAGGCGGGCAGGUAAGUCAGUGGUGAAAUCUCCGAGCUUAACUCGGAAACUGCCUUGGAUACUAUAAGUCUUGAAUGUCGUUGAGGUCAGCGGAAUAUGUCAUGUAGCGGUGAAAUGCAUAGAUAUGACAUAGAACACCAAUUGCGAAGGCAGCUGGCUACACAAAUAUUGACGCUGAGGCACGAAAGCGUGGGGAUCAAACAGG
rnacentral:rRNA from 1 species